rnacentral:lncRNA from 1 species
AUGGGGCCGCGCGGGGGACUAGGGCUGGCGCUCAGGGGGUCUCGGGCAGACCAGCUGAGGUUAGGCGCACACACGCGGGGACGCAAGAUGGCAGCUAGAGGGAGGCCGGAAGUGACGCAGCGCCACUUCCUCCAAAUGUCAGGAAACUCGCUUCCUCGCGAGCCCGGCGCCUCUCUGCGCACGCGCGGCCCCCCGCCACUGCCUGGGCUGCAGUUCGCCGAGGGACGGGCCGCGCGGCUCCGGACUGCGGGUCGGCGGGCAGCCGUGGGGAAGGCCUGGAGGGGUCAGGGAGCGCGGGGCUUUGCGGGGCUGGGGGUGAGGAGUCGGCCCUGUCCGCGGGCCGGACCCGCAGGUUCGUCGCCUCGGGGGAAAGGGCCGGAGCGCGUGCGCCCCAGCGAGCCUGGACCUGGACGUUCUGUCGGCACCUGGCGAAAACAGGCCGGCUCUGCUUUCCAGCAUACAGUGUUUCGAGCUCAAAUCUGCUGAACACGUGAAGAGGAUGACAUUUGCAUGAAGUCUGUUCAAUUAUAACCAUGAUCUGUGCUUUUAAGUAUCAUGGGUAAUUUUCAGGCUGCGUCUUUCGCUGUUGGUUCAAACCAUGAGGACCAGGUGGGUUUAUAUACUUACUGUACUGCUAGAACAGAGCUAUGGCUUCAUAUUUCCAUGACAAGUUGCCUUUCCAUGCAUGUUACAAUGACUGAAUUGAAAACCUUCACAAACAAUGGUGAAUUAUCCCAGUUUCGCUUCCACUUCAGUCCUUGCGCAAAUAGAUGGACCUCUCGGAACCUGUCUGCUCACCUGAAAAGGUUCUCAAGCUUUGGUGUGUAUCACAAUCACCUGGAGAGCUAACCAAGUGUGAAGAGUCUUGAGCUCGCUGAAGCAGGCUGGGGCCAGGGCCUCGGUCUCUGCAUUUUUACCAAGUUUCACCAGGUAAUUCUGAUUACACACCAGACUUUGAGAACUACUGUCUUAGUUUGCUUCAAUGCAUUGAUUGGUUGAGUCAUGCAUUUAUUCAUUUAUGCAUGUGUAUAGAAAUAAACGUACUGAGAGACUAGGAAUUGUCA